rnacentral:tRNA from 1 species
GGCAAGAUGGCCGAGCGGUCUAAGGCGCUAGCUUCAGGUGCUAGUCUAGAAAUAGGCGAGGGAGGGUUCGAAUCCCUCUCUUGUCA